UACGUAGGGCCUAGCGUUGUCCGGAUUUAUUGGGCGUAAAGAGCUCGUAGGCGGCACGGUUAGUCAGGUGUGAAAUCUCCACGCUCAACGUGGAGGGUCACCUGAUACUGCCGAGCUUGAGUCCGGUAGGGAGUGCGGAAUUCCCGGUGUAGCGGUGAAUGCGCAGAUAUCGGGAGGAACACCGUAGCGAAGGCGGCGCACUGGACCAUAACUGACGCUGAUGCGCGAAAGCUAGGGAGCAACAGG
rnacentral:rRNA from 1 species